rnacentral:misc_RNA from 1 species
GAAACUCAAAGGCACAGUCUCCAGUAUUCAGGCUGUACUUGUUGAUGCUGAGAAGAGGCAAGCGCUAGAUGAGCAAGUCAAAGGUUGGCUUGGAAAGCUUCAAGAAGUUGUUUAUGAUGCUGAUGACUUGCUAGAUGACUUCGCCACUGAAGCUCUGCGGCACCAAGUGAUGACUGGAAAUAGACUGACAAAGGAGGUAAGCCUGUUCUUUUCGUCUUCGAAUCGGCUUCUUUAUGGUUUUAAGAUGGGUCAUA